AUUAGUAAAAGGAAAAAGGUGGUGAACCGCUUUAAUGAUCCAUCUAAGGAUGAGUUUGUCUUUCUCCUGAGCAGCAAGGCUGGUGGUUGUGGCCUCAAUUUGAUAGGUGGGAAUCGACUGGUCUUAUUUGACCCUGAUUGGAAUCCUGCCAAUGACAAACAAGCUGCUGCAAGAGUCUGGAGAGAUGGA